rnacentral:lncRNA from 1 species
CGCUCUCCUAAUGCAGCAUGUGUCGGCUUUAGAUACUGUCGGGUGUCCACCAUCUGAAAUACCACGUGUUAUGCAUAUAGGGUCAAGGAUUGUGGCUGGGUGCAUCCACUGGGCUGUGCUUCUCAAUGCCUUCUCGACCCAGCCGGCCCAAUGGGAGUAUUAAAAAUUAGAAAAAGCAAUCAUAAGAGAAAUUACGGCUGCAAGUACUGCUUACAGUGGAUAAUUUUAAAUAAAAUGG